rnacentral:rRNA from 1 species
GAUGAACGCUGGCUACAGGCUUAACACAUGCAAGUCGAGGGGAAACGACGGGGAAGCUUGCUUCCCCGGGCGUCGACCGGCGCACGGGUGAGUAACGCGUAUCCAACCUGCCUCUGACUGAGGGAUAACCCGUCGAAAGUCGGCCUAAUACCUCAUGGCAUCGUCUGCGGGCAUCCAACGCCGAUUAAAGAUUUCAUCGGUCAGAGAUGGGGAUGCGUCUGAUUAGCUUGUUGGCGGGGUAACGUCCCACCAAGGCGACGAUCAGUAGGGGUUCUGAGAGGAAGGUCCCCCACAUUGGAACUGAGACACGGUCCAAACUCCUACGGGAGGCAGCAGUGAGGAAUAUUGGUCAAUGGGCGAGAGCCUGAACCAGCCAAGUAGCGUGCAGGAUGACGGCCCUAUGGGUUGUAAACUGCUUUUAUGCGGGGAUAAAGUGAGGGACGUGUCCUUCAUUGCAGGUACCGCAUGAAUAAGGACCGGCUAAUUCCGUG